rnacentral:rRNA from 1 species
UACGAGGGGUGCAAGCGUUGCUCGGAAUUAUUGGGCGUAAAGGGUAGGUAGGUGGUCUCAUUUGUCUGGGGUGAAAGCCUUGAGCUUAACUCAAGAAGUGCCCCGGAAACGGUGAGACUGGAGUCUUGGAGAGGGUCGUGGAAUUCCCGGUGUAGCGGUGAAAUGCGUAGAGAUGUGGAGGAACACCGAUGGCGAAGGCAGCCCCCUGGGUCAAAACUGACGCUCAUGCACGAAAGCGUGGGGAGCAAACGGG